rnacentral:lncRNA from 1 species
AUGCCCCUGCAGGCCUCCUCGCCGCGGCGCCAAUGGCCUCCUCGUGCGUCGGUCCUCCUCGCCCCGGCGUCAUCGGCCUCGUCGUUCGUCGCACCCCGGCUCGAACUUCGGCCGUCACUGCUCGUCCAUGGCUGGCUCGGUGGCGUUGGUGCCCUGUCUCAUAUCCAGAUCCAGGAGCAGCGACCAGAUCGAGGAGGGACGCGUCACAACUCACAAACCCACCUCUCCUUCCAUGGCCUUGGCCGAGCGGGACCGGUGAUGCUUCUCCGACGAGGUCCUUGUUGCGUAUCAGUCGCGCUCAUCGAAUGAAUGGCAAACCCACCGAACGAACAUGCACAUAAACAAGAACGCUCAUGUUUUUUU